rnacentral:rRNA from 1 species
UACAGAGGGUGCAAGCGUUAAUCGGAAUUACUGGGCGUAAAGCGUGCGUAGGUGGACGUUUAAGUCGAAUGUGAAAGCCCCGGGCUCAACCUGGGAACUGCAUCCGAGACUGGACAUCUAGAGUAUGGUAGAGGAAAGUGGAAUUCCCGGUGUAGCGGUGAAAUGCGUAGAUAUGACAUAGAACACCAAUUGCGAAGGCAGCUGGCUACACAUAUAUUGACACUGAGGCACGAAGGCGUGGGGAUCAAACAGG